rnacentral:rRNA from 1 species
GAUGGUAAGGUAACGGCUUACCAUGGCUACGAUGUCUAGGGGUUCUGAGAGGAAGGUCCCCCACACUGGAACUGAGACACGGUCCAGACUCCUACGGGAGGCAGCAGUAAGGAAUAUUGGACAAUGGAUGGAAAUCUGAUCCAGCCAUGCCGCGUGCAGGAAGACGGCCCUAUGGGUUGUAAACUGCUUUUGUAUGGGAGCAAUAAGGGCUACGUGUAGUCCGAUGAGAGUACCAUACGAAUAAGCACCGGCUAACUCCGUGCCAGCAGCCGCGGUAAUACGGAGGGUGCAAGCGUUAUCCGGAUUUAUUGGGUUUAAAGGGUGCGUAGGCGGUUUGAUAAGUCAGCGGUGAAAUAUUUCAGCUUAACUGGAAGGGUGCCGUUGAUACUGUCGAGCUUGAAUUUAGUUGCUGUGGGUGGAAUGUGUGGUGUAGCGGUGAAAUGCAUAGAUAUCACACAGAAUAUCGAUUGCGAAGGCAGCUCACAAAGCUAAUAUUGACGCUGAUGCACGAAAGUGUGGGGAUCAAACAGGAUUAGAUACCCUGGUAGUCCACACUGUAAACGAUGAUAACUCGCUGUCGGCGAUACACAGUCGGUGGCCAAGCGA